AAAAUAGGUGCCCGUACCGCAAACCGACACAGGUAGUCAAGAUGAGAAUUCUAAGGUGAGCGAGCGAACUCUCGUUAAGGAACUCGGCAAAAUGACCCCGUAACUUCGGGAGAAGGGGUGCUCUUUAGGGUUAACGCCCAGAAGAGCCGCAGUGAAUAGGCCCAAGCGACUGUUUAUCAAAAACACAGGUCUCUGCUAAACCGUAAGGUGAUGUAUAGGGGCUGACGCCUGCCCGGUGCUGGAAGGUUAAGAGGAGUGGUUAGCUUCUGCGAAGCUACGAAUCGAAGCCCCAGUAAACGGCGGCCGUAACUAUAACGGUCCUAAGGUAGCGAAAUUCCUUGUCGGGUAAGUUCCGACCCGCACGAAAGGCGUAACGAUUUGGGCACUGUCUCAACGAGAGACUCGGUGAAAUCAUAGUACCUGUGAAGAUGCAGGUUACCCGCGACAGGACGGAAAGACCCCGUGGAGCUUUACUGUAGCCUGAUAUUGAAAUUCGGCACAGCUUGUACAGGAUAGGUAGGAGCCUUUGAAACGUGAGCGCUAGCUUACGUGGAGGCGCUGGUGGGAUACUACCCUAGCUGUGUUGGCUUUCUAACCCGCACCACUUAUCGUGGUGGGAGACAGUGUCAGGCGGGCAGUUUGACUGGGGCGGUCGCCUCCUAAAAGGUAACGGAGGCGCUCAAAGGUUCCCUCAGAAUGGUUGGAAAUCAUUCAUAGAGUGUAAAGGCAUAAGGGAGCUUGACUGCGAGACCUACAAGUCGAGCAGGGUCGAAAGACGGACUUAGUGAUCCGGUGGUUCCGCAUGGAAGGGCCAUCGCUCAACGGAUAAAAGCUACCCCGGGGAUAACAGGCUUAUCUCCCCCAAGAGUUCACAUCGACGGGGAGGUUUGGCACCUCGAUGUCGGCUCAUCGCAUCCUGGGGCUGUAGUCGGUCCCAAGGGUUGGGCUGUUCGCCCAUUAAAGCGGUACGCGAGCUGGGUUCAGAACGUCGUGAGACAGUUCGGUCCCUAUCCGUCGUGGGCGUAGGAAAUUUGAGAGGAGCUGUCCUUAGUACGAGAGGACCGGGAUGGACAUACCUCUGGUGUACCAGUUGUCGUGCCAACGGCAUAGCUGGGUAGCUAUGUGUGGACGGGAUAAGUGCUGAAAGCAUCUAAGCAUGAAGCCCCCCUCAAGAUGAGAUUUCCCAACUUCGGUUAUAAGAUCCCUCAAAGAUGAUGAGGUUAAUAGGUUCGAGGUGGAAGCAUGGUGACAUGUGGAGCUGACGAAUACUAAUCGAUCGAAGACUUAAUCAA
rnacentral:rRNA from 1 species